rnacentral:misc_RNA from 1 species
CACACGUAUAACUUAAAAAGUUAAAUGUAGAUGAUCGAGAAAACAGAAGUAAAAUUUCAUCAAAGUAACGGAGACCUAGAUAAAUCACAGCAAAACCCAGUUCAAACCCCAAGCUUUCAGCGGAAACUAACAACAAUGGAAGCAGAAAGCGAGAAUUUUAUUCGACAGGCAUAUUACCUUCAAGUUCUUCAAAGUACUGGAUAUCUCGCGCUUUGCCAUAUUAGGAGUUCU